GUCCCCGUAGUUCAAUGGAUAGAAUAGGAGACUCCUAAGCUCUUGAUGGAGGUUCGAUUCCUCCCGGGGACA
rfam:Candidatus Wolfebacteria bacterium RIFCSPLOWO2_01_FTLL_47_17b rifcsplowo2_01_scaffold_616, whole genome shotgun sequence.